CGGACGGGUGAGUAACGCGUGGACAACCUACCCCGCACUGGGGGACAACAGCCGGAAACGGCUGCUAAUACCGCAUAUGCGCACGGCCCCGCAUGGGCCGCGCGGAAAGCGCAUGCGGUGCGGGAUGGGUCCGCGUCUGAUUAGCUUGUUGGCGGGGUAACGGCCCACCAAGGCGACGAUCAGUAGCCGGCCUGAGAGGGUGGACGGCCACAUUGGGACUGAGACACGGCCCAGACUCCUACGGAAGGCAGCAG
rnacentral:rRNA from 1 species